GACGAACGCUGGCGGCGUGCCUAACACAUGCAAGUCGAACGGGACUGGGGGCAACUCCGGUUCAGUGGCGGACGGGUGCGUAACACGUGAGGAACAUGACCUUCGGCGGGGAGUAGCCGGCCCAACCGGCCGGGUAAGUACCGCGUACGACCGCAUGGGGACGAUCCCCGCCGCGGUGAAAGACAGCAAUGCACCGAAGGAGUGCCUCGCGGCCUAUCAGCUAGUUGGUGA
rnacentral:rRNA from 1 species